AGCGAACGCUGGCGGCAGGCCUAAUACAUGCAAGUCGAACGGAUCCUUUUAGGAUUAGUGGCGGACGGGUGAGUAACACGUGGGAACGUGCCCUUUGGUUCGGAACAACUCAGGGAAACUUGAGCUAAUACCGGAUGUGCCCUUGGGGAAAGAUUAUCGCCAUUGGAGCGGCCCGCGUCUGAUUAGCUAGUUGGUGGGGUAAAGGCCUACCAAGGCGACGAUCAGUAGCUGGUCUGAGAGGAUGAUCAGCCACACUGGGACUGAGACACGGCCCAGACUCCUACGGGAGGCAGCAGUAGGGAAUCUUGCGCAACGGGCGAAAGCCUGACGCAGCCAUGCCGCGUGAAUGAU
rnacentral:rRNA from 1 species